rnacentral:lncRNA from 1 species
AAGGAAUGGUGGCACUGGCCUGUAAUGCCAGCUCUCUGGAGGCUGAGGCAGGAGGAUCGCCAUGACUUGGAGGCCAGCCUGAACUAUAUGCGGGGACCCUGUCUCAAACAAACAAAUGAGGAUGUCUGAAAUUCAGGGCACCAGGAGAUUGAGGCGAGGUCUGAGUGGAGUUUGCAGCAGCCAGAGGUGCAGGCCACGGCGGUCUAGAGAACUGAAACUCAGCUCCUGCAAGGCCCACUCCUUACAAGGCAGCAAGGCUGGCGAUAGGUUACGAGUAGCCCGCUUGCUCACAGAGGGACGAUGGCCCAGGCCCAAACCUGUACAAAGACCACCGCUUCCCUGCUCGCGCUCUCUCCCCGCCUUUCUGACCCGCUGUCCCAAACAAGUCUCCUGUCGGACCUCUCGGUGUGUGGCCUUGCUGUCGAGCGUCGCUGCCCCUCUUCAGGGAGGACACAGCACAGCCUCUCGGAGCCUGGGGAGGACGGGGCCUCCCUCCUGGGCCUCUUGUCUUCCUUGUGUCUCCAGUUCUGGGGGUUGAACCCAGGGUCUGGGACUCACUGGGCUCCACCCGGGACCUACGGGAGGGAGGGAGGGAGGGGAAUGGAUGGAUGGACGGACAGAUGGACAGGUGGACGGACAGAUUCUGUCUCUGCCGUGCUGCCCUCACAUCUGCGCCCGCCCAUUUCCGGAGGCCGUGGAACCUCCUGUCGAUGAGGUGGGGGGUGACUUGCUCACAGCAGGUGGGGCCCCCCUUGGAAGCUCCUUGGGCACCGUCACCGUGGGCCUAGG